CAACCUACCUAUCAGAGGGGAAUAACCCGGCGAAAGUCGGACUAAUACCGCAUAAAACAGGGGCACCGCAUGGUGAUGUUUGUUAAAGAAAUUCGCUGAUAGAUGGGCAUGCGUUCCAUUAGGUAGUUGGUGAGGUAACGGCUCACCAAGCCGACGAUGGAUAGGGGAACUGAGAGGUUGGUCCCCCACACUGGUACUGAGACACGGACCAGACUCCUACGGGAGGCGGCAGUGAGGAAUAUUGGUCAAUGGGCGGGAGCCUGAACCAGCCAAGUCGCGUGAAGGAAGAAGGAUCUAUGGUUCGUAAACUUCUUUUGCAGGGGAAUAAAGUGCAGGACGUGUCCUGUUUUGUAUGUACCCUGAGAAUAAGGAUCGGCUAACUCCGUGCCAGCAGCCGCGGUAAUACGGAGGAUCCGAGCGUUAUCCGGAUUUAUUGGGUUUAAAGGGUGCGUAGGUGGUUUGAUAAGUCAGCGGUGAAAGUUUGCAGCUUAACUGUAAAAAUGCCGUUGAAACUGUCGGACUUGAGUGUAAAUGAGGUAGGCGGAAUGCGUGGUGUAGCGGUGAAAUGCAUAGAUAUCACGAAGAACUCCGAUUG
rnacentral:rRNA from 1 species